ensembl:snRNA U6 U6 spliceosomal RNA
GGAACGAUACAGAGAAGAUUAGCAUGGUCCCUGCACAAGGAUGACACGCAAAUUCAUGAAGCGUUCUAUAUAAAA